CCUACGGGAGGCAGCAGUGAGGAAUAUUGGUCAAUGGGCUUACGCCUGAACCAGCCAAGUCGCGUGAGGGAAGACUGCCCUAUGGGUUGUAAACCUCUUUUGUCAGGGAGCAACGCCGGCUACGUGUAGCCGGACUGAGAGUACCUGAAGAAAAAGCAUCGGCAAACCCCGUGCCAGCAGCCGCGGUAAUACGGAGGAUGCGAGCGUUAUCCGGAUUUAUUGGGUUUAAAGGGUGCGUAGGCGGAAUGCCAAGUCAGCGGGAAAAUCGCGGGGCUCAACCUCGCUCCGCCGUUGAAACUGGCGUUCUUGAGUGGGCGAGAAGUAUGCGGAAUGCGUGGUGUAGCGGUGAAAUGCAUAGAUAUCACGCAGAACUCCGAUUGCGAAGGCAGCAUACCGGCGCCCAACUGACGCUGAAGCACGAAAGCGUGGGUAUCGAACAGGAUUAGAUACCCGAGUAGUC
rnacentral:rRNA from 1 species